rnacentral:tRNA from 2 species
CAGAAAAUAGUUUAUUUAAAAUGGUAAUUUUGGAGAUUAUAGAAAAGGGUUCCUUUUUUCUGA